AGUACACUCACCAGUGAUGUCUGUCUGCCGCCUUCCUGGACAUCUUUUCAGGCUUCAGAAGAAGAUGGGAAUGCAGAAAUAAUAAGCAGAAAAGGAGAGGCAAGAGAACAGAAACGGGAAACACUGAUGUCCGUUCCUAUCCUCUCUGGAAAGAUCUCUUAUGUCCCUUCAAAGUGACUUGGGGACUUUCACAAGAAGGCAAAGAAGCUCAGUGAAUGCCUCCUUCUUUCAUUUCUCAGUCAAAGUGGUGGAGUGAUGAUGUCCUCUUUGCUCCUGCUAGGGGAGGAUGGUGGAGAGGCUAGUCCUGAUUUGUUUGACGAGGAACAACCCUGCCCACUGCAACCGGCUGUGGUUCCCCAGAGGGGCCCCUCCCUCUCUCUUUUUUUCUGCUUCAUCCUGCGGUUCUGGAACCAGAUCUUCACUUGGGCUUCAUUGAGGAGUAAGGCUGAGGCGAUUUCCACCCGUCGGGCUCUGCUCAGGUAUUUGUUGAAGUGGAAUUCCUUCUCCAGCUCUGUCAGCUGCUUGGUGGUGAAGUUGGUUCUGGGAGAGCAAGAGGAAGAUGUCCUGUCCCCAGUUGGGUCAUGUGAUGUUACUAAGGAUGAAAAAAGAAGAAGGGAUCAUCACUCAAGAUGCCAUCCGGGUUUGUAGCAGCAGCAUCCUCUUUUCGCUAUGUUUUUUCUGCCCAGUUCAUUUCCUACUCAGAGGAAUUGAUAUUUAUUUAGCUAGACAAUACAUAAACCACUUGAUCAAA